rnacentral:rRNA from 1 species
UACGUAGGUGACAAGCGUUGUCCGGAUUUACUGGGCGUAAAGAGCGCGCAGGCGGUCGAUCAAGUCGAGUGUGAAAGCCCCCGGCUCAACUGGGGAGGGUCAUUCGAUACUGAUCGACUCGAAGGCAGGAGAGGGUAGUGGAAUUCCCGGUGUAGUGGUGAAAUGCGUAGAUAUCGGGAGGAACACCAGUGGCGAAGGCGACUACCUGGCCUGUUCUUGAC